rnacentral:rRNA from 1 species
GACGAACGCUGGCGGCGUGCCUAACACAUGCAAGUCGAGCGAGGAACUUACAACUGAUUCCUUCGGGAUGAAGAUGUAGGUUUCCUAGCGGCGGACGGGUGAGUAACGCGUGAGAAACCUGCCUUUCACUAGGGGAUAGCCUCGGGAAACCGGGAUUAAUACCCUAUGACACUUAAGGGUCGCAUGGCCUUUAAGUUAAAGCGCUUUAGCGGUGGAAGAUGGUCUCGCGUCCCAUUAGCUAGUUGGUGAGGUAAAGGCUCACCAAGGCGACGAUGGGUAGCCGGCCUGAGAGGGUGACCGGCCACACUGGAACUGAGACACGGUCCAGACUCCUACGGGAGGCAGCAGUGGGGAAUAUUGCACAAUGGAGGAAACUCUGAUGCAGCGACGCCGCGUGAGUGAUGAAGGCCUUCGGGCCGUAAAGCUCUGUCCUAGGGGACGAUAAUGACGGUACCCUAGGAGGAAGCCCCGGCUAACUACGUG